rnacentral:rRNA from 1 species
AUUGAACGCUGGCGGCAUGCCUUACACAUGCAAGUCGAACGGCAGCGCGGGCUUCGGCCUGGCGGCGAGUGGCGAACGGGUGAGUAAUGCAUCGGAACGUGCCCAGUAGUGGGGGAUAGCCCGGCGAAAGCCGGAUUAAUACCGCAUACGACCUGAGGGUGAAAGCGGGGGACCGAAAGGCCUCGCGCCAUUUGAGCGGCCGAGGUCGGAUUAGCUAGUUGGUGGGGUAAAGGCUUACCAAGGCGACGAACCGUAGCUGGUCUGAGAGGACGACCAGCCACACUGGAACUGAGACACGGCCCAGACUCCUACGGGGGGAAGCGGUGGGGAAUUUUGGGCAAGGGGGGCAAGCCUGAUCCAGCCAUGCGGCGUGCGGGAUGAAGGCCUUCGGGUGGUAAACCGCUUUUGUUCGGGAGGAAGUCCUCUGGGCUAAUACGCCGGGGGGAUGACGGUACCGGAAGAAUAAGCCCCGGCUAACUACGUG